AUUGAACGCUGGCGGAAUGCUUUACACAUGCAAGUCGAGCGGCAGCACGGGGGCAACCCUGGUGGCGAGCGGCGAACGGGUGAGUAACACAUCGGAACGUACCCUGUCGUGGGGGAUAACGAGUCGAAAGAUUCGCUAAUACCGCAUACGACCCGGGGGUGAAAGCGGGGGAUCGCAAGACCUCGCGCGACUGGAGCGGCCGAUGGCGGAUUAGCUAGUUGGUGGGGUAAAGGCCCACCAAGGCGACGAUCCGUAGCGGGUCUGAGAGGACGGCCCGCCACACUGGGACUGAGACACGGCCCAGACUCCUACGGGAGGCAGCAGUGGGGAAUUUUGGACAAUGGGGGGCAACCCUGAUCCAGCCAUUCCGCGUGAGUGAAGAAGGCCUGGUGUAAG
rnacentral:rRNA from 1 species